rnacentral:tRNA from 1 species
GCCCGGGUAGCUCAAUCGGUAGAGCGUGUGGCUCUUAUCCCAGAGAGAUAGUUACCUCAAGGUCGCGGGUUCGAGCCCCGCCUCGGGCU